rnacentral:lncRNA from 10 species
CAUAGUAAUUUUCUUAAAUAUAUAUAUAUAUAUUUUAUCCACUAGAGCUACUUAGUGAAGUUUCUACAGAUGAAAUACAAAGACAUCUAGAAUUUGAUUUAAAAUAUUCCAGGUUGGGUGCAGUGGUUCGCACCUGUAACCCCAACACUUUGGGAGGUCAAGGUAGGAGGAUGGCUUGAGGCCAAGAAUUCGAGACCAGCCUGGGCAUCGUAGCGACACCCUGUCACUACAAAAAAAUUUAUUUUACUUAUUUAUUUUUUAGAGUCUCACUCUUUCACCCAGGCUGGAGUUCAGUGGCGUGAUCUUGGCUCACUGCAGCCUCCACCUCUCAGGAGAAUCACUUGAACCCGGGAGGCGGAAGUUGCAGUGAGCCGAGAUGGCGCCAUCGCACUCCAGCCUGGGCAACAAGAGCGAAACUCCAUUUCAAAAAAA